GGCCUUGUUUUGCUGAGUAUGGAAAGUUCUCUCUUCUCUCAGCCUCAUUCAUUUAACUUUUAACUAGACACAGUCUCCUACAGAGCUAUGUCUUCCUCAACUGUGAUAUCUGAAAAGCUCCUAGGGGCCUCCCUAAGAUUCCCACUGAGCUAUGUGAUCAGAAGGCAAGUCUACCAGCCCUGCCUCUGAUCAUGGCCCACCCUGCAUUUCCUCAAGUCCCGGCCCAGAAAGGAAGACAAGAUCAUACAGCAAGAAGCUUGGAUGCGAAUUGGAAUCAGGUAGGUUACUUAACUUCAAUGAGUUGGCUUCUUCAUCGGCAAAGUGGUUACAGAAAAAAAAAAAAAAACAACAAUAUCCAUCCGGCAAGGUUAUUCUUAGAGUCAGGAAAGAUGUAUGUGAAGCAUAUAUGUAUGUAGCAACAAGUCAGGCUCACAGGAGAUGCAAGAUAAAGAGGACAACUUCUGUUCAAUCUCUCCCACAGGGGUUUGCUGAACAUCCACCUGACACUGAAGAUUCAGUUGAAUCCUGAUAGCCUUCCUCUGCUGAUGUUAAAUCCAGGAUGGAUCACUAUACAAGUCAUCUGCCAUAGAGCAUGUACUCCAGAACAGAUUUGAGUAAAAUGUGGAGAGGAGUCCAUUUGCUCAUGAAUUUCUUUGCCUGUCACUUUCUCAAACAGGGAAACACAAAAAAUUCAAAGAAGACAGCCUUUGUGCGUAGGUUCCUGCUUUGUAGUAGGGUGGCCUAGAGCUGCUGGAAGAUCCUCUCCCUGAGAGCAAAUGCUGACCUCGAGAGACAGUCAACCCACACAGGAUGGGCCCAGGCCACUGCAAUUGCACUGAUACCCUCUACUCCUCACUUAGUCACAGGAGGAAAAUAGCUUCUGAUUUGGGAUUUUAGUUAAAUGCUAAAAAUUGGAGGUAAAUUAAUUAAGAUAUAACUUCAACAACACCAGCCUUCCCUUAUCAACAGUUCCUAAGACAGG
rnacentral:lncRNA from 1 species